AUUGCUUCUCGGCCUUUUGGCUAAGAUCAAGUGUAGUAUCUGUUCUUAUCAGAAUGAGAGAGGAAGGAAGAGGGAGGGUGGGUACAUAUUGAGAAGAGAGGGUAGGAUGUGAAGUCUCACUACGCUUCUAAAUCUAUAUAUAGGAAAUACAU
ensembl:snRNA U2 U2 spliceosomal RNA